UACGUAGGGGGCAAGCGUUGUCCGGAUUUAUUGGGCGUAAAGAGCGUGUAGGCGGUUCGGUAGGUCCGUUGUGAAAACUCGAGGCUCAACCUCGAGACGCCGAUGGAAACCCUCGAACUAGAGUCCGGAAGAGGAGAGUGGAAUUCCUGGUGUAGCGGUGAAAUGCGCAGAUAUCAGGAAGAACACCCGUGGCUAAGGCGGCUCUCUAGGACGGUACUGACGCUGAGACGCGAAAGCGUGGGGAGCGAACAGG
rnacentral:rRNA from 1 species